rnacentral:rRNA from 1 species
AGAACGAACGCUGGCGGCGUGGAUAAGACAUGCAAGUCGAGCGAGAUAAGUUUUGUAGCAAUACAGAGCUUGUUUAGCGGCGAACGGGUGCGUAACACGUGAGAACCUGCCCAAAAGAGGGGGAUAGCCCGCCGAAAGGCGGAUUAAUACCGCAUAUUAACAAAGCAGCAAUGCGCUUUUGGAUGGGCUCGCGGCCUAUCAGCUUGAUGGUGAGGUAACGGCUCACCAUGGCGAUGACGGGUAGCUGGUCUGAGAGGACGACCAGCCACACUGGGACUGAGACACGGCCCAGACACCUACGGGUGGCAGCAGUCGAGAAUUUUUCACAAU